UAUGUGAUCGUCUCUCGCAUAUCAAUAAGCGGAGGAAAAGAAACUAACAAGGAUUCCCCUAGUAACGGCGAGUGAAGCGGGAAGAGCUCAAAUUUGAAAUCUUAAAGGGUUUCCCUUUACGAAUUGUAGUUUAAAGAAGUGUUUUCUGUUGAGGUUUUGGUAAAAGUUCUUUGGAAUAGGACAUCAUAGAGGGUGAGAGUCCCGUAUUUGACCUUUACUUUCAACUUUGUGAUACACUUUCAAAGAGUCGGAUUGUUUGGGAAUGCAGUCCAAAAUGGGUGGUAAAUUUCAUCUAAAGCUAAAUAUUGGCGAGAGACCGAUAGCGAACAAGUACCGUGAGGGAAAGAUGAAAAGAACUUUGAAAAGAGAGUUAAACAGUACGUGAAAUUGUCAAAAGGGAAGCGUUUGACACCAGUGUUGUUUUUCUGAAAAUCAAUUAAAGAACUGUUUAUGCUAAGUUGUUUAGACUUUAUCAGCUAACUGUUUAGUUUUGAGCUUUUCUUUAAUGCACUUUUCAGUUAACAAGUCAACAUCAAUUUCUUUUGCUGUAAAAAAGCUUGAGGAAGGUGGCUUGAGAUUCGUCUUAAGUGUUUAUAGCCUCUUGCCUAUGCAGUCGGAGAGAUUGAGGUCUGCAGCGUAGAUCCUUCGGGGCUAAAUGCAUUUGUGCUAAGUUAUAGCAUUUUAUAGACAACUUGUUGACUAUGAUUUGUCUUGUAGCUUACUCGCUUAUGUUAUUUUACCUACGCUUAGGAUGUUGAGUAGCGACAUACGCAC
rnacentral:rRNA from 1 species